UACAAGGGUCUUUUAAUGCCUCCUCUUCUUGCAAUAUUGUUCUGGCUUCUACCAGUUGAGACAUACAAGCAUACGAUCAUAUGUAGCAAUUUUACUAUACAGUUUUUCUUCUUAUUUAACCAAACAAAUUGAGAAGAGGCAAUAGUGGCUUUAGGGGAAGAUUUUGUGUUAUGACCAACUUUGACAUGGCUACGUUAUUUCAUAAUGUUUAAAAAAACAAAUAAGUUGUUCACUAUCACUAUGAUUGGGCACCUCUAGAAUCAUCUACGGGAUGCCAGUAUCUGUUGUUGAACCACAUAGAAUCAGCUUCUACAGCAUAUCCAUCCUGAUUACGAUGCCAACUGUAGUAAGCAUGGGUUCUGUUUUUAAUAUCAAAAAUGGCAUGACCGAAACUGGCCUCGCGAUAUGCUGAGUACGCUGGCUGCGGCUCUGUCAUGUUAGUUGCCAAGCCUUCAAGGUUUCCUCCAUCGCCGAUUGUGAUGUAUACCGGAGCAGUUUGAUCUGCUACUGGAGUGCAUUUUCCAUUUACAAUGUUGUAUGCGACAUUGGAUAUGCGUUCAGAUCGUUCAUAGGCAUGAACAUGGCCAGCGAAAACGACAUCAACUUUGUACUGAACAAACCAUGGCUCAUACAUUACUCUCAUAGUCUCUCCUUCCAUGUAAUGAUAGUUGUAGCUAUUAUACCAUGGGGAAUGCAUGAGAACAAUCAACCAUGGUGUCUUGGUUCUGUUAACUUUCGGCAGCUCUGCUUCAAGCCAUUGAUACUGAGGAGUGUACUUACCAUAUGCUGAAUAUGAAGACAAGACAAUAAUAUAUGCUGAAGCUCUCUUGAUUGAGUACCAAAAAGGAGCAGUACUGCCUGAUGCUUUAUAUGGGACAUGAUACCGAUGAGUGUAUGGCUUAAAAGGUUUAGUUUCACCAAUUUCAGGGAAAAAAUCGAUCUCGUGAUUUCCUGCAGUCCAUAUCCAAGGUUGAUAAGCAGCACUUCUCUCUACAAACCUUCCCCAUGUAUCCCACCUGACAUUGUCAUGAUUUGGGUAGGUAUCUGCAUAAGAGAGGUCUCCAACAAACAACACAGUCUUUCCUUUUUGUGGGUUCAUUUCAUAGUGAGUGAGUGUUUUGUUUGAAUCAAAACUCUGACCGAGAUCCCCUAUGAGACCAAAUGUAUAGGGGACAUCAGGGCCAACUUCUGGAGGAGUUACAAACCAGAAUUGCCUCGUAGUAUGACCAAUCCCAACUACAUAGUAAUAUUUGGUGUUGUACUCCAAGUUUCUGAUGGUGCAGUGAUGAAUGUAACCAGAGGUGUAAUUGUAGAAUUUAUAGGUCUUAUGUUUGCCUUUGGCCUCCUUAUGUGUGCUAUUUUCACUCCAGUAAAGCACUGAGUUUGAACCAGGUAAUUCCUCAGUCACCCAUGACACUAUCACUGCCUUUCCAUCAUGAUCUCCUUGUGUUAUGUGAACCUGUUGGGGAGCAUUGUAACCAGGAGGGACUCGGAAAACAUCACUAUCAAGAGGCAUAUCAACAGUCUUCUCCACUGGCCUAACAAAACUGCUGGUUUUGCCUCCAUUACACAACACUGCCACGUACAAAACCAAACCAAGAAGAUCAAGAAGCAAGAUAGAAAAAGAAAAAGAACCCAUCUUGGAUUCGAGAGCUUCUCCAGUUCUCUACACGCUCCUACACUUCAUAUACUUGUGUAUUUUUUGAUACAAAAAAUUGAUGGGUAGCUUAGAAUACGGGGAAUAUUGAUGGAUUUAUGCCAAAUAUACAGGUAAGAUGUCAAACAGAAAGAGAGUAUGCUUUGCUUUCUCUUAGUUUGAAGCUUUCGUCGAAAACUAGCUGAGUAAGGGAGACCCAAAUGGGAAGUCAAGCGGAGGUGACAGGACAAAUUGCAGUUGUCGAGGAAAAUAAAAGAGAAAUAAAUUCUCUGAACCUUG
rnacentral:misc_RNA from 1 species